CACCGCCCGUCACAUCACGAAAGUCGGUUGUGCCGGAAGUCGGUGCGCGAACCCGCAAGGGAAGCAGCCGCCCAUGGUAUGGCUGGCGAUUGGGGUG
rnacentral:rRNA from 1 species